rnacentral:rRNA from 1 species
ACGGGAGGCAGCAGUGGGGAAUAUUGGACAAUGGGGGAAACCCUGAUCCAGCGACGCCGCGUGAGUGAAGAAGUAUUUCGGUAUGUAAAGCUCUAUCAGCAGGGAAGAUAAUGACGGUACCUGACUAAGAAGCUCCGGCUAAAUACGUGCCAGCAGCCGCGGUAAUACGUAUGGAGCAAGCGUUAUCCGGAUUUACUGGGUGUAAAGGGAGCGUAGACGGCAUAGCAAGUCUGAUGUGAAAUCCCCGGGCUCAACCCGGGAACUGCAUUGGAAACUGUUAAGCUAGAGUGCAGGAGAGGUAAGUGGAAUUCCUAGUGUAGCGGUGAAAUGCGUAGAUAUUAGGAGGAACACCAGUGGCGAAGGCGGCCUGCUGGGCUUUAACUGACGCUGAGGCUCGAAAGUGUGGGGAGCAAACAGGAUUAGAUACCCUGGUA